CCUUGUCAGGUUUGGACACUGAACUCUCAGGGCCUGGCAUAGUUCUGGACCUACCAACUCUACCCUGGAUCAAUAAGUUCAAGAUGAGGUGGUAAUAUGUAAAGACAGUAACACUAUCUGUGGCUUAAAGAGAGCGAAUGGGAUGGAAGACAAAAGUCCUACUCAGCUAGUGGACCUGCUGCCAUGGUGGCUGUGAAUCCAGUCUUAAUUCUUCCUGUGGCUGCUCCAAGCUGAAUGAGAGCUCCCUUGGUACUGGACCUCGUCUCAUCAGAGCUUUGGCAUGGACAAGCUCUGUACAACUCAAAGCAGCUGUAGGAUGAGUGGCAAUAAAACCAAGCUGCCACUUAUAGUGGUUCAUCCACUAGCUUCCACUGUUUUUGAUCAAAAAGGGUACCCUGAGAGGCCAGCAAUCAUAAAAUACGGAACUAAUUAAAAGGUAGGGGGUAAAUCAAUUUAAAACAGAACUAAAACAGAACAAAAUGACAUAAAUAGCAUCCAAACAGUUAAAAAUCCCUCAAGCCAAAAAACUAGCUUACAUGCCAAUGGCCUGUCCGAAUGAAGAAGUGGUUUGCCUGCUAGCUCAAGGAGAACAAAAAAGAGAAAGAAAGAAAGAAAGAAAGAAAGAAAGAAAGAAAGAAAGAAAGAGGGAUCUAUCCUGACCUUCCUUGGCAGGCAGAGCCUAGAAUUAGUGAUUAGAAAGAUCCUUCAUGUAUCUCCAGCAAGGAUGUCCCUGAUGGUGGUGGGACUGGGAGAAAGAUAUCUGCAAAUGUCUUCAGACUAAAGCAGCUCCUUUUGAACAAGCAGCAAUCUUUUGAACAAGCUGGUCCCAAGUUGUAUUAUUUGGUCUAUUUAACACUAUUUGUAUGUUAAGGAAGACUAACAUUAUAGUAUAAUAGUCAUGAUUUUUAUCUGGAAGGCCCAUACUCUGUCUUUGUAUACAGUCAGUGUAAAGAAUACAAGCCGUAUAAACUACUAUGACCUUCAAUAUUUAUGUCCUUUUAAAGAAACAAUUCCUCUUCCUCAAGAGCUUUUCUAUUUGGCUCUGUCACCAGCUUGCUUUUUGACUUCACUCAGCUUAAUAAAUCUUUCAACGUUUCUGUUUCCACAUCUGGAAAAUGAUGGUAAUGACAUGUGUCUUGCCUUACGUGGGUAGUGCGAGAAUUAAUUUAAACGUUUGUGAAACAGAAGAAGAUUCUGUGAUAAAUGAUGGGAUACAUGUGCAAAGUAUUACAUCACUGAAACCAUGCAUAAUAACCAAUUACAAAAUUACUGUAUAUCAUAUGCAUGUAGAGCUUUUCUGUCUUUGAGAAGUCCCCCAUUCUUUAGCAGUGUACUUGGAGGGCUGACUCAAAUUGUAAUGGUGGGGUUCAGACAAAUAAAAGUGCACCCUCAUGUG